GGCUACCUGGCGCAAUGGUAGCGCGUUUGGCUUCGAUCGCCGACGGCUAGUAGCCCACCAUGACAAAUGGGGGCACCAAAAGGUUGCAGGUUCGAGUCCUGCGGUGGUCA